AAAAGAAAAAAAAAAAAAAAAAAAAAAAAAAAAAAAAAA
rnacentral:ribozyme from 16 species